rnacentral:rRNA from 1 species
GAUGAACGCUGACAGAAUGCUUAACACAUGCAAGUCGAUGGGGAAGUGGUGCUUGCCCCAUGGCAACCAUGGCGGACGGGUGAGUAACGCGUAAGGGACUUACCUGCAGGACUGGGAUAACAGGGGGAAACUCCUGACAAGACCGGAUAAUGUCAUGGAGCUGCAUGGCUUUAUGAUGAAAGGAGACGCCUGCGGAGAGCCUUGCGUCCUAUUAGCUAGUUGGUGAGGUAAUGGCUCACCAAGGCGAAGAUAGGUAGCCGGCCUGAGAGGGUGGACGGCCAGAAGUGGACGGAGUUAGGGCCGUAACGGAUACGGGAGGGAGGGGGGGGGAAAAUGAGACUGUGGGUGCAAGCCAGAUCUUGAAUUUGUGUGAGCGUAAAGAUGGUUUUCGUAUUGUAAAGUGCUGUCAGAGGAGGGGAAAAAAGGGGCGGAACGUGCAAAGGAAGCGCCGGAUAAAUACGUUCCAGCCGCCGCGGUAAUAGACGGAAGCGCACACGUCUGAAC